rnacentral:rRNA from 1 species
AUCGCUCUUUGAAAAAAUAUUAAUAAAGAGUACUGCCUGCCCAGUGACAAAAGUUAAACGGCCGCGGUAUUUUGACCGUGCAAAGGUAGCAUAAUCAUUUGUUCUUUAAUUGAGGACUAGAAUGAAAGGCAACACGAAAACUUAACUGUCUCCUUCUUAAAAAAAGAAAUUAAUAUUUUUGUGAAGAAGCAAAAAUAAAAAUGUAAGACGAGAAGACCCUGUCGAGCUUAAGAAAAUUUUUAUAAGAAAAUAAAUAAGUUAAGCUAAGUUAUAUUACUAAAAACUAAAAAUAAAAAUAUCUUUGGUUGGGGCAACCACGAAGAAAAAGAAACCUUCGUUCUAAAAAAGAAAUUAACAAAUUAAAAACUUUAAUAAAGAAAAAGAUCCAGAAUAUACUGAUCAAAGAAAAAAGUUACCGCAGGGAUAACAGCGUUAUUCUCUUUAAGAGCUCGUAUUGACAAGAGAGUUUGCGACCUCGAUGUUGGACCGGGGCAUCCAAGAGGUGUAGCAGCCUCUAAAGGUAGGUCUGUUCGACCUUUAAAGCCCUACGUGAU